GACUCCUACGGGAGGCAGCAGUGGGGAAUAUUGGACAAUGGGCGCAAGCCUGAUCCAGCAAUGCCGCGUGUGUGAAGAAGGCCUUCGGGUUGUAAAGCACUUUUAUCAGGAGCGAAAUACCAUCGGCUAAUACCCGGUGGGGCUGACGGUACCUGAGGAAUAAGCACCGGCUAACUUCGUGCCAGCAGCCGCGGUAAUACGAAGGGUGCAAGCGUUAAUCGGAAUUACUGGGCGUAAAGCGUGCGUAGGCGGUUUUUUAAGUCUGCUGUGAAAUCCCCGGGCUCAACCUGGGAAUGGCAGUGGAUACUGGAAAGCUAGAGUGUGAUAGAGGAUGGUGGAAUUCCCGGUGUAGCGGUGAAAUGCGUAGAGAUCGGGAGGAACAUCAGUGGCGAAGGCGGCCAUCUGGAUCAACACUGACGCUGAGGCACGAAAGCGUGGGGAGCAAACAGGAUUAGAUACCCUGGUAGUCCACGCCCUAAACGAUGCGAACUGGAUGUUGGUCUCAACUCGGAGAUCAGUGUCGAAGCUAACGCGUUAAGUUCGCCGCCUGGGGAGUACGGUCGCAAGACUGAAACUCAAAUGAAUUGACGGGG
rnacentral:rRNA from 1 species